rnacentral:misc_RNA from 1 species
GAUGAAGAACGUAGCGAAAUGCGAUAAGUAGUGUGAAUUGCAGAAUUCAGUGAAUCAUCGAAUCUUUGAACGCACAUUGCGCCCGCCAGUAUUCUGGCGGGCAUGCCUGUCCGAGCGUCAUUUCAACCCUCAAGCCCCCGGGCUUGGUGUUGGAGAUCGGCGAGCCCCCCGGGGCGCGCCGUCUCCCAAAUAUAGUGGCGGUCCCGCUGUAGCUUCCUCUGCGUAGUAGCACACCUCGCACUGGGAAACAGCGUGGCCACGCCGUAAAACCCCCCACUUCUGAAAGGUUGACCUCGGAUCAGGUAGGAAUACCCGCUGAACUUAAGCAUAUCAAUAAGCGGAGGA